CAACUCUCAACAACGGAUAUCUUGGCUCCCGUAUCGAUGAAGAACGCAGCGAAAUGCGAUACGUAGUGUGAAUUGCAGAAUUCCGUGAACCAUCGAAUCUUUGAACGCAAAUUGCGCCCGCGGCUUCGGCCAAAGGCAUGUCUGCCUCAGCGUCGGCUC
rnacentral:rRNA from 3 species